rnacentral:tRNA from 1 species
GCGUCCGUAGCUCAGUUGGUUAGAGCACCACCUUGACAUGGUGGGGGUCGGUGGUUCGAGUCCACUCGGCCGAA